CGCGGCGAGAUCUUAAAGGCGUUCGAGGAGGAGCUCAAGGCGAUGAUCCGGA
rnacentral:rRNA from 1 species